GAUGAACGCUGGCGGCGUGCCUAAUACAUGCAAGUCGAGCGAACAGAUGAGGAGCUUGCUCCUCUGACGUUAGCGGCGGACGGGUGAGUAACACGUGGAUGACCUACCUAUAAGACUGGGAUAACUUCGGGAAACCGGAGCUAAUACCGGAUAAUAUAUUGAACCGCAUGGUUCAAUAGUGAAAGACGGUUUUGCUGUCACAUAUAGAUGGAUCCGCGCCGCAUUAGCUAGUUGGUAAGGUAACGGCUUACCAAGGCAACGAUGCGUAGCCGACCUGAGAGGGUGAACGCCCACACGGGAACUGAGACACGGUCCAGACUCCGACGGGAGGCAGCAGUAGGGAAUCUUCCGCAAUGGGCGAAAGCCUGACGGAGCAACGCCGCGUGAGUGAUGAAGGUCUUCGGAUCGUAAAACUCUGUUAUUAGGGAAGAACAAAUGUGUAAGUACCUAUGCACGUCUUGACGGUACCUAAUCAGAAAGCCACGGCUAACUACGUG
rnacentral:rRNA from 1 species